GACGAACGCUGGCGGCGUGCUUAACACAUGCAAGUCGAACGGAAAGGCCCUGCUUUUGUGGGGUGCUCGAUUUGCGAACGGGUGAGUAACACGUGUGUAACCUGCCCUUGACUUUGGGAUAUCUUCAGGAAACUUGGUCUAAUACCGGAUAGGAUCUCCUGCUGCAUGGUGGGCGUUGGAUAGUUUCGGCGGUUGGGGAUGUACUCGCCGCUUAUCCGCUUGUUGGUGGGGUAGUGGCUUACCAAGGCUUUGACGGGUAGGCGGCCUGAGAGGGUGACCGGAAACAAUGGGACGGAGAGACGGAACAGAGGAGAACGGGAGGGAGGGGAGGGGAAGAGUGCAGAAUGGGAGGAAGGAAGAUGGAGAAAAGCAGGGUGCGGGAAGAAGGGAUGGGGGUAGAAAACGGAAGGAGGAUGAGAAGAAGCGAGAGUGACGGUAAUGGGUAAAGAAGCACCGGCUAACUACGUG
rnacentral:rRNA from 1 species